rnacentral:rRNA from 1 species
UACGUAGGGUGCAAGCGUUAAUCGGAAUUACUGGGCGUAAAGCGUGCGCAGGCGGCUUUGCAAGACAGAUGUGAAAUCCCCGGGCUCAACCUGGGAACUGCAUUUGUGACUGCAUGGCUAGAGUGCGGCAGAGGGGGAUGGAAUUCCGCGUGUAGCAGUGAAAUGCGUAGAUAUGCGGAGGAACACCGAUGGCGAAGGCGGCAUCCUGGACCGGCAUUGACGCUGAGGCGCGAAAGCCAGGGGAGCAAACGGG